rnacentral:rRNA from 1 species
UUUGGAGAAUCUAGUUCUUGGGCUCUGGGGGAACUACGACCGCAAGGCUGAAACUUGAAGGAAUUGACGGAAGGGCACACCAGGGGUGGAGCCUGUGGCUUAAUUUGAAUCAACACGGGGAAACUUACCAGGACCAGAUGUUUUUUAUGACUGACAGGCUUCGGGUCUUUCAGGAUAUUGUUUUUGGUGGUGCAUGGCCGUUGGUGGUGCGUGGGUUGACCUGUCUAGCGUUGAUUCAGCUAACGAGCGAGAUUAUCGCCAAUUAUUUACUUUGCCGAAGUCCUUCGGUUAAAGUUCUAAUUGGGACUCCCUGCGAUUUUAGCAGGUGGAAGAGGGUAGCAAUAACAGGUCCGUGAUGCCCUUUAGAUGCUCUGGGCUGCACGCGUGCUACAAUGUUAGGAUCAAUAGGACUGCGAGCCUGAGAGGGUGCGCUACUCUUAUAAUCCCUAACGUAGUUGGGAUUGACGUUUGUAAUCAGCGUCAUGAACCAGGAAUCCCUUGUAAAUGUGUGUCAACAACGCACGUUGAAUACGUCCCUGCCCUUUGUACACACCGCCCGUCGCUCCUACCGAUUGGAUGACUCGGUGAAAUCACCGGAUGCUUACGAGCAGAAAGUGAUUAAAUCACGUUAUCUAGAGGAAGGAGAAGUCGUAACAAGGUAACGGUAGGUGAACCUGCCGUUGGAUC